rnacentral:rRNA from 1 species
GGAUUUAUUGGGCGUAAAGGCGAGCGCAGGCGGUUUUAAUUUAAGUCUGAUGUGAAAGCCCUCGGGUUAACCGAGGAAGCGCAUCGGAAACUGGGAAACUUGAGUGCAGAAGAGGACAGUGGAACUCCAUGUGUAGCGGUGAAAUGCGUAGAUAUAUGGAAGAACCACCAGUGGCGAAGGCGGCUGUCUGGUCUGUAACUGAGCGCUGAGGCUCGAAAGCAUGGGUAGCGAACAGGAUUAGAUACCCUGGAAUAGUCCAUGCCGUAAACGAUGAAUGCUAGGUGUUGGAGGGUUUCCGCCCUUCCAGUGCC